GCCCAGACUCGAGCUUUUCUGACUCGUCAAUUUCCUGGAAGUCGGGCCCACUGAAAAACUCCAUAGGCAUUUACUGAGUGCCAACAAUACACCAGGCGCUCUUCUAGACCUGGCCACAUGUGGCUCCUGAGCAUGUGAAAGGGGACUAAUCCAAAUUCCACUGGAUUUUGAAGACUGUGAAAAAUAAAAAGAAGGAACCUCAUUCAAAACAACUGCAGCCUGAACAGGAAGAAAAUUACCUUGCAUCUCCAGCAGGAAGAUGGUUGUGACUUUACUGCCCAGCAGAAGGGAGGAAGAAUUCCUCCUCGCCUGGCAACAGCCCAGCCAAUGAGAAGCCACUACACUUCAAACUCCCAGUUUCCUCCAAUGGACUCUUAGUUCAGAAGAGCCCCUCCCAGUUCCCCUACUCCUCUAUAAAACACGUUCCGCUCCUCUGUUCCUAGGGCUUGCCUCUAGUUCCCCACGGGUUGCAAGUUUUGAAUGGCAAUUCUUUACUGUUCCUAA